GACGAACGCUGGCGGCGUGCUUAACACAUGCAAGUCGAACGGAAAGGCCCUGCUUUUGUGGGGUGCUCGAGUGGCGAACGGGUGAGUAACACGUGAGUAACCUGCCCUUGACUUGGGGAUAACUUCAGGAAACUGGGGCUAAUACCGGAUAGGAGCUCCUGCUGCAGGGGGGGGGUUGGAAAGUUUCGGCGGUUGGGGAUGGACUCGCGGCUUAUCAGCUUGUUGGUGGGGUAGUGGCUUACGAAGGCUUUGACGGGUAGCCGGCCUGGGAGGGUGACCGGCCACCUUGGGCCUGAGAUACGGCCCAGACUCCUACGGGAGGCAGCGGUGGGGAAUAUUGCACAAUGGGCGGACGCCUGAUGCAGCAACGCCGCGUGCGGGAUGACGGCCUUCGGGUUGUAAACCGCUUUCGCCUGUGACGCAGCGUGAGUGACGGUAAUGGGUAAAGAAGCACCGGCUAACUACGUG
rnacentral:rRNA from 1 species